GAUGAACGCUGGCGGCGUGCCUAAUACAUGCAAGUCGAGCGAACAGACGAGGAGCUUGCUCCUUUGACGUUAGCGGCGGACGGGUGAGUAACACGUGGGUAACCUACCUAUAAGACUGGGAUAACUUCGGGAAACCGGAGCUAAUACCGGAUAAUAUUUCGAACCGCAUGGUUCGAUAGUGAAAGAUGGCUUUGCUAUCACUUAUAGAUGGACCUGCGCCGUAUUAGCUAGUUGGUAAGGUAACGGCUUACCAAGGCAACGAUACGUAGCCGACCUGAGAGGGUGAUCGACCACACUGGAACUGAGACACGGUCCAGACUCCUACGGGAGGCAGCAGUAGGGAAUCUUCCGCAAUGGGCGAAAGCCUGACGGAGCAACGCCGCGUGAGUGAUGAAGGUCUUCGGAUCGUAAAACCCUGUUAUUAGGGAAGAACAAACGUGUAAGUAACUGUGCACGUCUUGACGGUACCUAAUCAGAAAGCCACGGCUAACUACGUG
rnacentral:rRNA from 1 species